UUUCAUCUUUCUGUUAUUAUUCCAAUCAGAAUUCCCUUUUUAAUCUUCACAGUCUCUCUAACAGGCCUUGCUUCUCACUCAGAUGGCCUUGGCCAUUGGGCUACCUGUGGCUGUUUGUGUGUGUGUGUGUGUUUCAACACUCUUACUAGGAUGAAAACUCUUUGAAGGAGAACCGUCUCAUUCUUCUCUAGCACCCAGCACACAUUUCACUAAAAUACUGUUGCUAUCUGGAAUUCAUUACUUUUAAAGGCCAGGGAAAUACUGCUUAUCAAUCCAAGACGGGGUGACAGGACAUACACACACACACACACACGUUUUUCCCACUAGACUGCUUACCUUUUCACCACCAAGUGUGUCUGUCAUCCAUGGCUGUGUUAUUUAUAGCCACCUACAGUGUUGCUUGAGAGAAUGUGGGCUUAUGGGAAAUUUCAGAUGCUCUGAUAUGUGUGAGUUGCUCUUUACAGUGGAGGUUUCCUCUGUCUUCAGUCUUCGGUGUCUGUGAGUUUGGGGGAGCAGUAGUCUGUGGGUGUUAAGGGUUGUUGUUUUUCCAUCCAUUGCAGGCUGCCUUUGAUUCAUUUAUCUUCUUGUGUGUGAAUUUUUUUAUAGAGGGCCAACAUGUUAUGACUGGAGAGGCCAGAAAAAGUCAUAAAGGAAACCAUCCCAUCUGACUCAGGACAAUUUUUGCCACUCCCGCCUUUCACUUGUAUGAAUCAUAGGUUAUCUCCUGUCAUUGGGGUGGUUGGAGAAGGGCCGUUGAAUGAGGGUCUUGCUUGGUGCAUGGUGAGUGUCUGAAGACACUGAUACUCUUCUACCGGCCUGAGGGCGGACAUCCCAUAUUGCAAAGGUGACUUCUGGUUGUACUUUUUGGAAAGCCCCGUCAAGGGCGCAUGUUAAGGAGACUUAAAUAUGGAGGCUUUCUUCGAUGGGUGCUUCAUAGGAAUGAGUCUUAAAGGUCCAAGGAUGUUCUUGAAAGUCUUCAGCUUCCUCUCCCACCAUCAUCUCCAUCAGCUCCCCGUGAAGCCCUCCCUCUCCCCCUUCCCCCGCCCCCCGAUGAAUGCGAGUCUAGAAACCAGAGGUAGUACACUUCCUGUGCCUGCCCAGCUUCCCGACCAGCCUCCCUUCCAGCUGGCUCAUCAUCACCCAUAGAGCCCUUCCUCUCUGGGAAUUCUGGAGCCACCAAUGACUUUAUAACAUUAAACAUGGACGAGCAAUGGGAGAGAAAGGAGGUGAAAUAAGAAUUUUAUGUCUUCAUUUCCUGGGGCACUUACUGGAAACGGUUGAGACAGAGUCCUUUAAAUUUGAUGUACCAUUGGUAAGCUUUCAAACUGCCGAGAGCAAUUACCUUCCAAGAUUUUGACGACGAUGUUGGUGAGGAUGUUUGUGGUAAUUACAUAAUCACUUAUAUUUAUUCAGCACUAUGCAAAGUAUUUUGUCCAGCUCAGAGUGUUUCCUGUUACCAGUUUGUUAGUGAAAUGCUUAUGUUGCCUUCAGGGCACAGGGAGGGGGGAAAUCUAGUUUCUUAACCGAUCAGUGUUUAGUUCUUGAAUAACUAUUGGAGAUCAAAUGCAUCCUACUCCAAGCCUAAUGGCUUUGCUACUCCUCGAGGUGUAACUUCUUUGCUAUAGAAGCAAUUGACUAAAUGUUAGAUGUCUGCUUUACUUGUGUUCUGCUGGUCAAAACAGUUUUGCUCUUCUCGUUACAUCUUUAAGUUAUGGGAAAGGAAGCCCCAAACAAUACUUGACCUCUGAUACAAUGUACUAUUUUGAUUAUGAUCAGUACUUUAAUAAAAGUUUUAUUAAAGAGACUUCUGUGUGAGCUGUUGAAAAUCUUGGGAAAGUCUGAUGGAUCCGGCAUCGCCUCUCUUAAAUCACCUUCCCAUGUUACACAAGAUGGUCACGGAGGCAGACUUGGCCCCUGUUCUCUAAACUGAAGUGCCUUCAAUUUAUAAGAAAAGGAAGGGGCGAGAGUGGGUAGUUAACGACUGUGCUGGUGGCCAGCAGGCGCUUGUGUGCACUUUGCCAGUGGUGACCAGGGCUCAGUAGAGAGCCUGCUUUUUAAUGAACAUUUCUGUCCGCAGUCCUCUUGGGUGCAUAUCUCUUGAGAACAAAGUGUUUUGGUUUUUGUUGUUGUUAAAAUAGCUGUCAAAUAAGUAUUCAAAGCGCAGCAAACGUUAUAAAAAUAGUCAUUUGCCUACAUGUCCAGGCAAAUGAAAACUAGUGCCAGGAACACAGAAAAGAGAAAUGAUUUGAAUAACUUUACUAUCAUUGCGGCUUCUGGGGGAAAUAGCACCAGGGUGCGCAAAGUCUAGCCUGGCAACCUUGACCGUGCCUGGUGAUAGUAAUUUUUAAACAAUCUCUCAGGUUAAUAGGAUGCUUUAGUGUCCAUAAAACAGUUUCACUCACAUGCCAUCUUUAAUUCUGGAAGCAAUCCUUUAGGAUGGGUAUAAUGAUCCUGCCUUACAGAUCCUAUGGAAAUGGAGACCCAGAAAGAUGAUAACUAUCUGAGGCAUUGCAAUGGAUCACAAGUUUGUCUUUCCAUCAUUUUACCAUUUUUAGUCCUCGUGUUCUGCUCGCUGCUUGCUUUCUGACUAAACCUAAGUUUAAAAACUAGGGUCCCGUCGUGUUUUUGUAUUUCCAUAGCUAAAUUGCAGAAGAAGGGGAUGGAAGGAUGGAUAUCAGAAACCUUGUUCUGUGCCUCGAAAAUUAGAAGCCACAUAUAGGACUGGAGAAUGUCCUCUUUCAAUAUGCAUGUCUUUGAGAGUUUUGUCCACCAGUCUUACUGGAGUUCAAGCUGUGGAAUGAGUCAUUUUUUACCCCUUUUUCAUGUGGGGAUAAUUUCUCUUUUAAGCACCAUGUGGUCUGUCUCCUUGAGGGCAUGGUCAGUAGACAGAUGUUGCCAUUUAUAAAACUUUGUGGUAGUUGCUACAGUCCUGUAGCUUUGCUCUUUCCCAGAGCUUCAAGAGUAUAACAUAAUCAGUGGAGGGCAUCCGUACAUAGGAAGGGCGCUUCUUCACCAUGUCAGCCUAGAGGUCAAGUAUUGUCCGGGGCUUCCUUUCACAGAAUUUCUUGAAGAUGAAUAUCUCAAUACAGAUACAGAGAAGAACAACAUUGUUUUGAGUGGCAUCACCCGAAUCACACAGAUAUCUCAUAUUUAGUCAAGUUGCUUUCAUAAAGAAGUUAUACCUUGAGUAGCAAAGCCUACUCCUUGUAUGACUAUAAUAUUUCAAAGGAUAUGGUAAAUAAUGAUCUCAAUUAGCAGAAACUGUAUUUGGUUUGCCAGACAGAACGCUAAUUUGUAUUCUUGCUUUCCUGCAACUUGCUCUGCAUAAACGUUAUUUCCCCCACCACAUAAAAAGAGAAGUUGAGUCAUGAUGUUGUUUUACUUAAUUUUGGUUAAGGAAGCCCAUCAAAGCAGCUCCCACACUAAUAUGGACUUCUUUCUCUUCCUUUCCACUAGUAUUCAUCAGGAUGAUUUCCCCCAGGGACUUGGAACUGACAAUCAUUCUGAUUUUUCCUUCUCAGUGAAAAUUUCCUAGAAAAGAUGAGCUUCACUAAAUAAUGACUGGGCUCAUGAAUUUAUAAUUGGAGAGUUUUUCUUGAAAACUAUCAUAGGUUUAGGUUUUACAUUUUCGUGCACUUCAAAAAAAAAAAGGAUUUC